AUUCUACUCCCUCCGUCCAACAAAAGAUGUCUCAAUUUUGAUCAAAUUUGAAUGCAUCCAUACACUAAGUCAUGUCUAGAUACAUCUAAAUUUAGACAAACUUUAGACAUCUUUUGUUGGACGGAGGAAAUACAUG
rfam:Brachypodium distachyon strain Bd21 chromosome 5, whole genome shotgun sequence.